rnacentral:rRNA from 1 species
ACGCUCGACACCUACGGGGGCAGCAGUGGGGAAUAUUGCACAAUGGAGGAAACUCUGAUGCAGCGACGCCGCGUGGAGGAAGAAGGUCUUCGGAUUGUAAACUCCUGUUGUUGAGGACGAUAAUGACGGUACUCAACAAGGAAGUGACGGCUAACUACGUGUCAGCAGCCGCGGUAAUCUGAGCGGGCUGGCAAGGC